AGCAGCCGCGGUAAUUCCAGCUCCAAUAGCGUAUAUUAAAGUUGCUGCAGUUAAAAAGCUCGUAGUUGAAUUUCGGGAUCAUCAUGUCGGUCGUGCCUCGGUACGUACUGGCAUUGUUGGUUUCUACCUUCUGACGAACCAUGAUGUCAUUUAUUUGGUGUCGUGGGAAGUCAGGACUGUUACUUUGAAAAAUUAGAGUGUUUAAAGCAGGCUCACGCUUGAAUACAUUAGCAUGGAAUAAUGAAAUAGGACGUUUGAUUCUAUUUUGUUGGUUUCUAGGAUCGACGUAAUGAUUAAUAGGGAUUUAGUGGGGGCACUAGUAUUCAAUUGUCAGAGGUGAAAUUCUUGGAUUUAUUGAAGACUAACUACUGCGAAAGCAUUUGCCAAGGAUGUUUUCAUUAAUCAAGAACGAAAGUUAGGGGAUCGAAGACGGUCAGAUACCGUCGUAGUCUUAACCAUAAACUAUGCCGACUAGGGAUCGGAUGAUGUUAAUUUUUAAUGACUC
rnacentral:rRNA from 1 species